AUGGGACAAUGCUCUAAUAAUGAUGAUCAUCACACUUUUAUUACUUACAACUCGACAAUUACAACUCAAUACUUAGAACAAAAUAUGACUCUAUGUGAAUGCCUCCGGUGGUGUACCGGGAUAUGCGAUGAAUCAAGAGUGACAUGUCUGAAAACUUAUAAAUGGUGGCUUUGCCACAAAUACGAUGUCAACUACAUGAUCAUGCAAAGCAAUAUGACAAUUAUGGAGCGUGUCAUAAUAAACGGAACGGUGGAAAGUUGCAUGGCAAUAUAUCUCGGAAUGGCUAUGGAAAUGCCAUGA
rnacentral:rRNA from 1 species